AGAGUUUGAUCCUGGCUCAGGAUGAACGCUAGCGGCAGGCUUAACACAUGCAAGUCGAAGGGCAGCGAGGGGAGUGCUUGCACUCCCUGUCGGCGACUGGCGCACGGGUGAGUAACACGUAUGCAACCUGCCCUCCACAGGGGGACAACCUUCCGAAAGGGAGGCUAAUCCCGCGUAAAUCCCCCGGAGGCAUCUCCGGGGGAGGAAAACUCCGGUGGUGGAGGAUGGGCAUGCGGCGCAUUAGGCAGUCGGCGGGGUAACGGCCCACCGAACCGACGAUGCGUAGGGGUUCUGAGAGGAAGGUCCCCCACACUGGUACUGAGACACGGACCAGACUCCUACGGGAGGCAGCAGUGAGGAAUAUUGGUCAAUGGACGCGAGUCUGAACCAGCCAAGCCGCGUGAAGGAUUAAGGCCCUACGGGUCGUAAACUUCUUUUGUCAGGGAACAAAAGUGGGGACGUGUCCCCAUCUGCGUGUACCUGAAGAAAAAGCAUCGGCUAACUCCGUGCCAGCAGCCGCGGUAAUACGGAGGAUGCGAGCGUUAUCCGGAUUUAUUGGGUUUAAAGGGUGCGUAGGCGGGAUGCCAAGUCAGCGGUAAAAUCGCGGGGCUCAACCCCGCUCCGCCGUUGAAACUGGCGUUCUUGAGUGGGCGAGAAGUAUGCGGAAUGCGUGGUGUAGCGGUGAAAUGCAUAGAUAUCACGCAGAACUCCGAUUGCGAAGGCAGCAUGCCGGCGCCCAACUGACGCUGAAGCACGAAAGCGUGGGUAUCGAACAAAAGGAGAUACCCUGGUAGUCCACACAGUAANCGAUGCCUUAAGGCGUCCGGGGGGGAAUUGACCCCUGGGUGGCACAGCGAAAGGCGUUAAGCAUUUCCCACCUGGAAAGUACCCCGGCAACGGUGAAACUUCAAAGGAAUUGAGGGGGGGCCCGCACAAGCGGAGGAACAUAUGGUUUAAUUCGAUUGAUACGCGAGGAACCUUACCCGGGCUCAAAACGCCGAAGGGACAUUCCCCGAAAGGGGAUUGGCCAGCAAUGGUCUUCGGGCGAGGUGCUGCAUGGUUGUCGUCAGCUCGUGCCGUGAGGUGUCGGCUUAAGUGCCAUAACGAGCGCAACCCCCACCGACAGUUGCUAACUGGUCAAGCAGAGGACUCUGUCGGGACUGCCGGCGCAAGCUGCGAGGAAGGCGGGGAUGACGUCAAAUCAGCACGGCCCUUACGUCCGUGGCGACACACGUGUUACAAUGGCAGGUACAGCGGGAUGCCAUGGGGCGACCCAGAGCGGAACCCGAAAACCUGUCUCAGUUCGGAUUGGAGUCUGCAACCCGACUCCAUGAAGCUGGAUUCGUUAGUAAUCGCGCAUCAGCCACGGCGCGGUGAAUACGUUCCCGGGCCUUGCACACACCGCCCGUCA
rnacentral:rRNA from 1 species